GAUUGGGAGGAGGUUACGACCUCCGUUUGGUGAAGCGUAGUGCCAAGAAAAGCUGUGUAAGUGUUGAAGUAUUAGUACCCGUACCCCAAACCGACACAGGUGGGUAGGUUGAGUAUACUAAGGGGCGCGAGGUAACUCUCUCUAAGGAACUCGGCAAAAUGGCUCCGUAACUUCGGGAGAAGGAGUGCCACCGAGAGGUGGUCGCAGUGAAGAGGCCCAAGCGACUGUUUAUCAAAAACACAGGUCUCUGCUAACUCGUAAGAGGAUGUAUAGGGGCUGACGCCUGCCCAGUGCCGGAAGGUUAAAGAAGCCGGUCAGUCUUCGGAUGAAGCUGGCGACUGAAGCCCCGGUGAACGGCGGCCGUAACGAUAACGGUCCUAAGGUAGCGAAAUUCCUUGUCGGGUAAGUUCCGACCCGCACGAAAGGCGUAACGAUUUGGGCGCUGUCUCGGAGAGAGGCUCGGCGAAAUAGGAUUGUCUGUGAAGAUACGGACUACCUGCACCUGGACAGAAAGACCCUAUGAAGCUUUACUGUAGCUUGGGAUUGGGUUCGGGCUUGGUUUGCGCAGGAUAGGUGGGAGGCUAUGAGGGUUAGUUUGCGGACUAACCGGAGCCGCUGGUGAGAUACCACUCUAACUAAGCUAGAAUUCUAACCUCAACCCGUAAUCCGGGAGAGGGACAGUUUCAGGUGGGCAGUUUGACUGGGGCGGUCGCCUCCAAAAUGGUAACGGAGGCGUGCAAAGGUUCCCUCAGGCUGGUUGGAAAUCAGCCGAAGAGUGUAAAGGCAGAAGGGAGCUUGACUGCGAGACCUACAAGUCGAGCAGGGUGGAAACACGGCCCUAGUGAUCCGACGGCACUGCGUGGAAGGGCCGUCGCUCAACGGAUAAAAGUUACUCUAGGAUAACAGGCUGAUCUCCCCCAAGAGUUCACAUCGACGGGGAGGUUUGGCACCUCGAUGUCGGCUCAUCGCAACCUGGGGCGGUAGCACGUCCCAAGGGUUCGGCUGUUCGCCGAUUAAAGCGGUACGUGAGCUGGGUUCAGAACGUCGUGAGACAGUUCGGUCCAUAUCCGGUGUAGGCGUAAGAGAAUUGAGAGGAGCCUUCCUUAGUACGAGAGGACCGGGAAGGACGCACCGCUGGUGUACCUGUUAUCGUGCCAACGGUAAACGCAGGGUAGCCAAGUGCGGAGUGGAUAACCGCUGAAAGCAUCUAAGUGGGAAGCCCACCUCAAGAUGAGUUCUCUGUUGGGGUCAACCCAGUAAGGUCACGGGAAGACUACCCGUUGAUAGGCGCUAGGUGGAAGUGCAGUAAUGUGCGGAGCCGAGGCGUACUAACAGACCGAGCGCUUGACC
rnacentral:rRNA from 1 species